rnacentral:RNase_P_RNA from 5 species
UAUUUUGGGUAAUCGCUAUAAAUAUGAUUUAUAGAGGAAAGUCCAUGCUCACACAAUCUGAGAUGAUUGUAGUGUUCGUGCUUGAUGAAACCAUAAGUCAAGGCAAUGUAAAUUGACGGCAACGAAUUAACCUAAGUCUCCGGAUAAGGUUAUAAUAGUUUGAAAGUGCCACAGUGACGUAGCUCUAAUAGAAAUAUUAGAGGUGGAACGCGGUAAACCCCUCGAGUGAGCAAUCCAAAUUUGGUAGGAGCACUUGUUUAGCGGAAUUCAACGCAUAAACGAGAAAGUAUUAAAUGAUACUUUAGACAGAUGAUUAUCACCAGCGUACGAGUGCAACUAGUGCACGUGAUAGUACUAAGGUACAGAACAUGGCUUAUAGAA